GGAGAUAACCGCCAUCCCCUUGGAGAAGUGGGAGGUAGCCCUGCCCUGCUCUAACGCGGUAGCUCGGGCGGGAUUGCUGAAAGAAAGCCGCAGUGCCUCGGGACACUGCCGGGCGGGGAGGGACUCACCUGUCCCGCCUUCCCUACUCUUGUCUCUUGAGGGGCGGGCCGCUCCGCCCCUAAACAGCAGGGGUCUGGGCCGUUGGGACCCUCCCUAAGCACCUCGGUGCCCGCCCCGCAGCCGUUAGCUUCGUUCGCUCCCCUUCCCACAGCGGUCUCGUGUCCUCCCACAAUUACUCCCACCCGCCCCGCUGCAGACUGCCGAGUCUUUUCACCUCGAUCUUCUCCCCGAUGCAGGUCGCCAUAUUUCCAGGCUCUGGCCUGGGUUCUCCGGAUUAGCUUCCUUCACGCAGUCCCUUCGAGGCAGCGCUCCAAGCAGCCAGCCGGCCUUGGCGCCCAUCAGGCUCGGCUCUCUAAACCGCCGCUCCAGGCGACGACGCUGAAACCACGGAAAGUUCUCCCUGACACCUUCCGAGGCCUGGGCGGUGCCUCUGGGCUCCCAUUUUGAAAAUCUCCCGCCGCUUGCCGUCCGAGCUAGGCUGGUGGUGACGUAACGAGAUGGAUCGCUCCGGAUAGGCUGCGCCGGGGCGCGCAUGCGCGGCAGACCUUCCUUUGCGGCCGGCCCAGGGUUCUAGACUUCGGGGCCAAGGGCCGGAAGCGCUGCGGAGAGUUUAGUUCGGGCGGGAGGCUGUCUCGGGCCCACUCUCGGAAGAACUUCUGCAAGACGGGUAAAAGAGCAGGCCUUAAAGAUGGGACACUUAUGGCUGAUCGGUUACUUCACGGUCCGAAAUACCACUUCUAAUUCCGGAAAGGGUUUAAAACUAUUUUAAAAUGUCAAGCGUUUAAGACUUGACGGAACAGGGCAAAAAACAUUACCUUCCUUUAAGGAACACCGUUUACACCACUACCGCUUAUUCCGUAGUUUGUUAUAACUGUAGUUAAUGUGUACGGUACCUUAAGAAAACGAACUCCAUUCUUUAUUUUGGCAAACUCCUAAGUAUUUAAUAUUAUAAUGUCAUUUGUAUAAUAAUUUACAGUUAGAUCUCUCAUACACAUAAUUUGUAUGGAUCAAAAGAGACCUCUGUAAGUUUGGGAUGGUGUUUUGCAGGUGAGAAAAGUGUGAUGCUUAAGGAAGGAUAUUUAACAAACAGAAGUAGCGCACAAACUUAGAUCUUCUGUUAUUAAGUGAAAGCUCUUUUCCUUGAUGUUAGUGUGUAUUUCUUUUUCUUUUUCUUUUUUCUUUUGAGAUGGAGUCUCGCUCUGUCGCCCAGGCUGGAGUGCAGUGACUCGAUCUCGGCUCACUGCAGCCUCCAUCUCCUGGGUUCCAGCGAUUCUCCUUCCUCAGUCUCCCGGGUAGCUGGGAUUUACAGGUACGCGCCACCACGACUGGCUAAUUUUUGUAUUUUUAGUAGAGACGGGGUUUCACCAUGUUGGCCAGGCUGGUCUCGAACUCCUGACCUCAGGUGAUCCGCCUGCGUCGGCUUCCCAAAGUGCUAGGAAUACAGGCGUGAGCCUCCAUGCCCGGCCCAUUUUUUUUUUUAAACUUUUUAGUUUCAAAUAAUUUUAAGCUUACAGAAAAGUUGUAAAAAUAAUAGAGAACUCCUGUUGUCCUUUACUCAGAUUAACCAAUUCUUAACAUUUUGCCACACUUGUUUUUACUAUUCUUCAUGUGUAAUAUACAUGUAUAAAUAUAUAAAUAAGCCUAUUAUUUGUAUUUUAUGAAUCAUUCUAAAAUAGGUUACAUACACUAUGCUCUUAUACCCCUUAUUUCUAAAGUGUGAAUUUCUUAAGAACCAGGGUAUCCUCUUGUAUGUUUAUCAAAUUAAGGAUAUUUAGCAUUGAUACAAUAUUUAUAUUUAAUCUAAUCUACAGUUCAUAUUCCGAUUUGUCAAUUGUUCCAGUAAUGUCUUUAUUUAACAUUUUUUCCUUCCAGUAUAGAUCUAGUACAGGAUCACAUACCGUAUUUAGUUACCAUAUCUUUUUAAUUUCCUUUAAUAUGGAAGAGUUCCUCAGCAUUUGUAUUUUUGUGACAUUGAGAUUUUUGAAGAGUGCAGGCCAAUUAUUUAUCAUUCGUUCAUUUGUUCAUUCCAGUAUUACUGAGGUAUAGUUGACAAAAAUUGUAUUUAUUCAAGUUGUACAGCAUGAUGAUUUCAUAUACAUUGUGAAAUGAUUACAACAAUCAAAUUAACACAUUGUCACCACUCUUAGGAGUGUGUGUGUGUGUGUGUGUGUGUGUUAAGGGCCAGUUAUUUUACAGAAUCUUCCCUACUUUGGGUUUGUCUCGUGUUUCCUCAUGAUUAGAUUCAGGUUAUGUAUUCCUGAUUGUAAUAUUACAUACAUGAGGUUAUAUUCUUUCCAAGAGACCACAUUUGGAGGCACGUGAUAUUGUUUGUCUCUCAUUAGUGAUGUUAAUUUGAUCCCAGUUUCUCCACUGUAUAAAUUGCUGGUUUUCUACUUGCAACUAAUAAGCAAUCUAUGGGGGAGACACUUGAAUUUCCUGCAAAUAUUCUGCUCCUCAGCAAACCCCUCUCUCACAAUUUAGCAGUAUUAUUGAUUUUUCCUAAACUAGUCUUUACUAUGAUAGUUACAAAAUGAUAAUUGUUCUCUUUCCAUAUGUAUUAGAAACAAUUUUGCCAAAAAGAUGAGCCCCGCCUGGUGUGGUGGCUCAAGUCUGUGAUCCCAGCACUUUGGGAAGUUGAGGCAAGCAGAUCGCUUGAGCCCAGGAGUUCCAGAUCAGCCUGGGCAAAAUAGUGGAAACACAGUCUCUACAAAAAAUACAAAAAUUAGCCAGGGGAGGUGACUUGCACCUGUGGUCCCAGCCACUCAGGAAGCUGAGGUGGAAAGAUCACUUGAGCCUGGGUGGCAAAGGCUGCAGUGUGCCAGGUUCAUGCCACUGCACCACAGCCUGGGCGACAGAGCGAUACCCUGUCUCCAAACAAACAAACAAACAAAAAACAACCAGAAGAGCCCUACAUUUUGCCCUGUUUAAUGAUAUACAGAUGGUCCCCAACUUAUUAUUAUGAUGGUACAAUUUAUGAUAUUUUGUCUUUACAAUGUAUUUAUAAGGCUAUUAAAUGCAUUUUUUGACUUAGGAUAUUUUUGACUCAUGAUGAAUUUAUUGGGAUGUAGCCCCCUCAUAAUUCAAGGAACAUCUGUGUUUUCAGUAUGAAUUUAGGGAUUCCCAGAUUAUUGAAUCAGUUAUAAUCCAUUUCCUCAAAGGAUUAUAAUCCAUUACCAUCUUAUUUUGGUGUUCAAAGUGUCUGAGAUUUGUUUAGUGAGAGCUCCUUUCAACCUAGCUGUUUUGAUAGGACAUAUAUAUAUAAAAGCAGUUCUUUACUUUCUGGUACAACAAGAUGUUCUAAUUUUAUUUUGGGCUUUCUCUCACCCAGCACUGAAAGGAGCCAUUUCUGCAAAGUGUCCUGACACCUUACAGUAGAAAAUGGUGCUUAAAAAACAAUAUCUGGGAGCUUAGCAAGCUUAUUGCGACUUAGGUGUCAUUGCAUCUAUGCCUUUUCAGCAGAUGAAACUAAAGAAAAAAAUAUUAGUAAUCAUGAGUUCAAGCUGAUAUCACCAAUUCUAAUCUAAUUUCACAUAGUUGUUCCUACUACCUUAAAUUUCUAUUUAAUCACUGUUACCAUAUAUACAUAAUUUUAAAAAUCAAAUUGUUUUAUAACAAAUAUUAAUAACAAGCAUACAAACUCUGCAUUUCUGCUUCCCAGAUGCAACCCUCUUCAAUUCAUUUAACUGUUCAUUUUUAUAUAUUCUACCGUAUUUCUAAAUAACAUGCUUAUUUUCUUUUUUGAUUUUUUUCAGUUAUAGAUUUAGCUCUAUUAACUUUCUAUUGUGGAAGAUGAGGAACUAUUUCUUUAGUUGCUUUUACUUUCACCCCUUUUCUUUUUCUUUUUUUGACACAGCGACUUGCUCUGUCACCCAGGCUGGAGUGCAAUGGCACGAUCUCAGCUCACUGCAACCUCUGUCUCCCAGGUUCAAGUGAUUCUCCUGCCUCAGCCUCCUGAGUAGCUGGGAUUACAGGCACACGCCACCACACCUAGCUAAUUUUUGUAUUUUUAGUAGAGACGGGAUUUCACCAUGUUGGCCAGGCUGGUCUCGAACUCCUGACCUCAGGUGAUCCAUCUGCCUCAGCCUCCCAAAGUGCUGGGAUUACAGGUGCGAGGCACCAUGCCCGGCCACUUUCAUCCCUUUGUGUCCUCAGUUCUUGUGACCUCAUUCUCUAAAUGUAAUUACCUCAUAAGUUUUUGUUUUUUCUUUGAGACUGAGUUUCGCCCUUUGCCCAGGCUGGGGUGCAAUGGUGCGAUCUCAGCUCACUGCAACCUCUGCCUUCCAGGUUCAAGCGAUUCUCCUGCCUCAGCCUCCUGAGUAGCUGGGAUUACAGGCAUGUACCACCAAGCCUGGCUAAUUUUUGUGUAUUUUUAAUAGAGACGGGGUUUCUCCAUGUUGGUCAGGCUGGUCUCGAACUCCUGACCUCAGGUGAUCUGCCUGCCUCCGCCUCCCAAAGUGCUGGGAUUACAGAUAUGAGCCACCGCGUCCGGCCUAACUUUUUUUUUUUUUGAGACAGAGUCCCCCUCUGUCGCCUAGGCUGGAGUGCAGUGGCACAAUCUUGGCUUACUGCAACCUCUGCCUCCUGGGUUCAAGCAAUUCUUGUGCCCCAGCCUCCCAAGUAGCUGGUAUUAUAGAUAUGUGCCACCAUGCUCUGCUAAUUUUUGUAUUUUUCAUAGAGACAGGGUUUUGCCAUGUUGGCCAGGCUGGUCUUAAACUCCAGACUUCAAGUGAUCCACCUGCCUCAGCCUCCCAAAGUGCUGGGAUUGCAGGCAUGAGUCACCAUGCCUGGCUACCUCGUAACUUUUGUUUCUCAAUAUUCAGAGUUUACAAUGUUAUUACAAUUAAGUAAAUAUUACAGCUGAGAUACACAAAAUCCUUUCCCCUCUUUGUAUAACUUUUAGUUACUUCUACGGUUUAAGAAAAUGCAGAACAAAGCUAGUGCUCUCAACAGCACUUUAAGGAAUAGUGAUGUGUAAUUCUGAGGAAGCUGUGUUAAGACUAUCUCAUCUCAUAUCUUUACUUGAAAUAAUGUUUUCCUCUGAGAUAGUCUGAGUCAAGAGAUUAUUCUUUACUAAGAUAGUCUAUUGGCUAUAUAUAGGGGCUAUGUAUAGAUGAAGGGAUUGCAGGGAACUUUCAUUUUCUACCUCCCAUAGCCUUAAUUUUUAAAAUAUUUAUAUUGAGCAUGGAAUUUUUUAUUAUAAAAAAUUUUCAGGCAAAAUGAUAGGUAGAGAGAACAGUGCAAUAAUGAAUUUCAAAGUUCAAUAAUUUUUAGAAAUGUGUCAUAGGGUGAGUUUAACUUUUUUAUGACUCUUUGAGUGAGAAGUUCCAGGUGGUGCCAUGUCUGUGCAGUCUUAACCAACUGAGGAAUCAGACCAGAAUUUGGGCUGACCACAGCAGCUAAAAGUGAGUAGAAAAGCAUACAGGGUGAGAGAGGGAAACCAUAAAUUCUAUGCAAAAGCUCUGCCCAAAUAUUUGGCUGUGCCCUGAAUUACACAUGUGCUGUGCAGAUUUUAAUGUUAAUUGCACAGAUUUUUUUUAGCUGCUGCCCACUCCAAGGAAGAUAGUUUGGAAUUUGAGUUUAGCUCAUUUAGAUGUCUAUAAAAACAACAUAAUGGUACUUUUUAAGACAAAUAUAAUAAAAUCUAUUGUAUCUAACAUGAAGUUUUCAAAAUGCCCAGGCUAAAAUCUAAAAUUAGUAGAUAUUAACAAAAUAAGAAAAUGUGACAUGAAAUUAAAAGAGACAAAACAGAAUCAAUAGAGACCAACCACAAAGUUGACCAAGAUGAAAGAAUUAGUACUUAAGGAUUUAAAAGUAGCUAUUAUAACUAUUAUGCUCCAGAAUGCAAAGGAAUUUAUGCUAGUAAUGAAUGAGCAAGUAGGAAUUUCAACACAGAAAUAGGAACUAGAAAAAGAACCAAAUGGAAAUCAUAGACCUGAAAAAAGGGCAAAUGAAGACUUUGCUGAAUGGGCUUAAUAGUAGAGUGGGGAUGACAGAUGAAGGAAUCAGGCAACUUGAUGAUAGAUAAAUAGUACUUAAAAAAUCUUAUGAGCCACCGCCUCAAAAAAAAUAAUGAAUACAGCUUCAGUGAUCUGUAGAACGAUAUUUUUAAAAGACCAAUAUACGUUAUUGGACCCCCACAAGAAAAAAGAGAAAAAGAUGGGGGCAAAAAAUAUUUAAGAAAGAAUAGCCAAUGAAAAACAUAAAUAUACAUAUUCAAGAGGCUCAGUCAAUCCUAAGCAAGAUAAAUUCAAUGAAAACCACACCAAGGUACAUAAUAAUCAAGUGACAGUCAUAAUUUGACCAUCAAAGUCAAAUGAUUAUCAAAGAUAAUGAGAAAAAUCUUGAAAACAACCAGACAAAAAUCAAUAUAUUACACACACAAAAAAGUAACAUAAAUGAUGUUGACUUCUCACAAGAAAUAAUGGAAGGAAAAAGACAGUGAAUUGACAUCUUUAAGUGCUGAUGAAGAAAGCCCCUGUCAAUUCAGAAUUCUAUUAUCUAACAAAAACAGUAAUUUAGAUAAAUGAAAACAAGAUAAUUCAUCAUCCACUGACCUGCACUACAAGAAAUGCCAAAGGAAUUUUUUCACACUGUGUGGAUUUGAUAAGAAAUAGAAACUCAUAUUGUCAGAAAGUAAUCAAGAACAUCAGAAAUGGGAAUUAUGGGCUGGGCAUGGUGGCUCAUGUCUGUAAUCCAAUCACUUUGGGAGGCCGAGGCAGGCGGAUCACUUGGGCCAGGAGUUCGAGACCAGCCUGGCCACCAUGGUGAAAUCCUGUCUCUACCAGAAAUAAAAAAUUAGCUGGGUGUGGUGGAGUGUGCCUGUAAUCCCAGUUACUUGGGAGGCUGAGACACGAGAAUCGCUUGAACCCAGGAGGUGGAGGUUGCAGUGAGCUGAGAUCGCACCACCACACUCCAGCCUGGGUGACAGAGUGAAACCCUGUCUCAAAAAAGAAAAAAAAAGAAAGAAAGAAAUGGGAACUAUGUAGAUAAAUAUAAAGAACUAUUAUUUUGUUUCUUUAUUUCUUUAAAAUACACAUCAGUAAAUAAUGUGAAAAUUAAAAUAUUUUAUUUGGCCAGUUGUAUAUCUUCUUCCCUUUUAAAAAAAUAUGAGACAGGGUCUUACUAUGUUGCCCAGUUUCAUUUCAAACUCCUAGGCUCAAGUGAACCUCCUGCCUCAGCCUCCGAAGUAGCUGGGACUAGAGGUGCGCUUGGCUGUGUAUCUUAUUUUGAGAAGUGAUUUUUCAGGUCAUUGGCCCAUUUUUUAAUAAAAUUACUUCUUUCUUGCUAUCAAGUUGAGUUCUUUAUUUUGAUAUUAACCCUUUAUCAGAUGUAUGGUUUGCAAAUAUUUUCUCCCAAGUCAUGGGUAGUCUCUUCACUCAGUUGAUUGUUUCCUUGCCUGUGCAGAAGCAUUUUGGUUUGACACAAUCUCAGUUGCCAAUUUUUGCUUUUGUUGCCUGUGCUUUUGGGGUCAUAUUUUAAAAAAAUCAUCGCCUAGACAAAUAUCAUGGAGCUUAUCCUUUAUAUUUUCUUCUAAUAGUCUUACAGUUUCAGGUCUUGUGUUUAAAUCUUUGAUCCAUUCUGUGUUGAUUUUUGUAUAUCAGCUGACAUAAGGGUUCACUCUCAUUCUGCUGCAUGUGGAGGUCUAGUUUUGACAACACCCUUUAUUGAAGAGGCUGUCCUUUCCAUAUUGUGUGUUCUUGGCACUUUUGUUGAAGAUCAAUUGCCUAAAUGUAUGGAUUUAUUUUGGGGCUCUCUAUUCUGUUCCAUUUGUCUAUAUGUCUGUUUUUAUGUCAGUACCAUGUUGUUUUAAUUACUAUAGCUUUAUAAAUUAUUUUGAAAUCAGGUAGUAUAAUGCCUCCAGCUUUCUUCUUUUUGCUCAAGAUUGCUUUGGCUACUCAAGGUCUUUUGUAAUUCCAGGUAAAUUUUAGGAUUGCUUUUUCUAUUUCUGUGAAAAAUGCCAUUACAAUUUUGAUAGGGACUUCCCUGAAUCUGUGGAUUGCUUUGUGUAGUAUGGUGUAUUAGUCUGUUUUCACACUGCUAUAAAGAACUACCUGAGACUGGGUAAUUUAUGCAGAAAAGAAGUUUAAUUGACCCACAGUUCUUCAGGCGUAACAGGAAGCAUGACAGAGAAAUGACCAUAGUUCAGAUGUCAGGGAUUAGCACGGGAUUGUGAGGGAUGAUGGCUCCAGUCCUGAAAAGCCCAACAGUGGCGCCUUUGGAGGGGGCAUAGCCAUGUUUCCCUCUCUGGUGGUAGUGGAGGGGUCUGCAGUGGGGAUGGCUGUUGGUUACCUCAGUUGCUGGUGUCCUCUAUAGAGCAGGUGAGUGGGGACCACAGUAGCCCAUGCUGUGCGGCUGAUACUAAUAGCUCCUACCCUUGUCUUUUGUUCCUGUCUCUAGAUGUCUCAGGUAUACUGCUGUCCUUUGACUGUUCCACAUUGGUUAUUCUCCAUUUUUCUCCUCCACUGUGUUACCACAAGUUCUUAAAUGGGCCCUUGAUCCCUCCCAAAGUUAUUAUCAUUUAUGGAUAACUAUUAUUAUCCAUAACAAUACUCUGCCAUCUUGCUAACAUCACUGUCCUCUCCAAUUCAUUUAAUAAUUAUAAGAUUAUUUAUUUGUUUAUUUAUUUUGAGACAGAGUCUCGCUCUGUCGCCCAGGCUGGAGUGCAAUGGCCUGAUCACGGCUCACUGCCACCUCUGCCUCCUGGGUUCAAGGGCUUCUCCUGCCUCAGCCUCCCAAGCAGUUGGGAUUACAGGCGCAUACCACCACCACUGGCCAAUUUUUGUGUUUUUAGUAGAGACGGGGUUUUGCCAUGUUGGCCAGGCUGGUCUCGAACUCCUGACCUCAGGUGACCUGCCUAUCUCAUCCUCCCAAAGUGCUGGGAUUACAGGCGUGAGCCGCUGCACCAGCUGACAUCUAUACAAUUUUAUUUAUUAUUAUUAUUAUUAUUUAGAAAAAGUCUUGUCUGUUGCCCAGGCUGGAGUGCAGUGGCACGAUCUGAGCUCACCGCAACCUCUGCCUCCCACAUUCAAGUGAUUCUCCUGCCUCAGCCUCCUGAGUAGCUGGGAUUACAGGUGCCAACCACCAUGCCCGGCUAAUUUUUGUUUUUUUAGUAGAGACAGGGUUUCACCAUGUUGGCCAGGCGGUCUUGAACUCCUUAUCUCAGGUGAUCCACCCACCUUGGCCUCCCAGAGUGCUGGGAUUACAGGCGUGAGCCACUGCACCCGGCUGACAUCUGUGCAAUUUUAAAGAUACUUCCUUAUAGGAUGCUUUGGUUCUUCAUCUAUUUAAUCAUAAUCAUAGCUACAUCUCUAUUUCUUUUUCUUCUUUUCUUUCUUUUUUUUUUUUUGAGAUGGAGUCUCGCUCUGUCACCCAGGUUGGAGUGCAGUGGUGCAAUCUCACUGCAACCCCCACCUCCCGGGUUCAAGCGAUUCUCCUGCCUCAGCCUCCGGAGUAGCUGGGAUUACAGGCGUGCACCACCACACUCAGCUCAUUUUUGUAUUUUUAGUAGAGACGGGGUUUCACCAUGUUCACCAGGAUGGUUUGAUCUCCUGACCUCAUGAUCUGCCCGCCUCAGCCUCCCAAAGUGCUGGGAUUACAGGUGUGAGCCACCACGCCCAGCCAUGUCUCUAUUUUUUUAAGUAGCAGUACACAUUCAAUUCACCAAUUCCCUACUUUCUGUAAUCAGAGUUGGUGUCAGUUGCUUUGUCACUAUCAUCACAUGAAAAGAAUAAGGUUCUAGAUUUCAAGGCAGCAUCUGAUACUUGCUUUGCUUAACUACUCUCCUAAAAUCAAGACAUAGGAACAAGAUCCCCCCCAAAACUUAUUCAAGUCCUACCGUCUUGCCCACUAUGUGUCAAAUAGCGGUGUGGUACCCUCAUAGCAUGUAUCCUAGGCUCUGAGAAAAGUAAGGAAAGUCAACAUUUAAUGAAUAUUUACAAUGUGCCAGGCACUAUUCUAAGAAGUUUGCCCACAUUAGCUGAUCUAAUCCUCACAUUAGGUUUAUUCUUUUUCCAUUUUAUUGGUGAAGAACAGAUACUAUUUUACAGAUUAAGAAUCUGAGGCAGCCUGGCUCCAAAGCCCACUCCAAAGCACCACACGUCAAGUGCUGGCAUCCAUUAUUCAUUCUUCCUGCUUUUGCUCCUGCCCCACUUUGUCUAUUCACUGCAUGGAAGCCAGUGAAAUUCUGUUAAAACAUUUUAGAUCAUGUUGGCCCUCUGCUCAAUCUCUGCAGUGGUCCCCAUCUCACUCAGAGUAAAAGCUGAAGUCCUUUCAGUAGCUUACCAUGCUCCUCCACGUGGUCUUCUUUCCCAUCACGUAUCUGCUUGACCUCACUCCUGCUGUUUUCCCUACAUCCACUUCACUCCAGCCACACUGGCCUUCUGACUUCUCCCAAUACACCAAGCAUACUCCAGCUUUGGCACUUGCUCUUCUCUCAGCCUGGAGGGCUAAGUGACUCACCCUCUCCUCUUUCAAGUCUGUAUCUGAUGUUAACUUUUCAGCACAGCCUUCCCUGCUCAUUCUAUUUAAAAACUUCAAGUCCCUCCCUUUUCCUGGAAAACCCUAUUUCCCUUCCCUGCUUUAUUUUCAGAAGAAGAAUCUCAGGCAGCCUGGCCUCUCUGCUUUAUUUUCCCUUACACGCUUUAACAUCAUACUUCUUUAUUCUGCUCAUGGUCUGUUCCCCCACUAGAAUGUCCUCUGUGAAGACAAGUUUUAUUAUUUGUUCUUUUGCUGCUGUACCUUCACUAUCUAGAAUAGUACUUAGUGUAUAAUAAGUCCCCAGAAAAAUAUUUGAUGAAUGAAUGAAUUAAUCUAAAUAUAUGGAAGUUGGAGCAGAGGUUGAGAGGCAGAACAAGAAUGGGUGGGUACAAGUCUUACAAGGAGGAAUACCUCAGAGGCCUGGAACAGAGAGGGUAGGCAGGAUUAAUGCUAGGACAUGGAAUAAAGAGGAGGAGGCUGCCUUGGGCUAUUACUUGUUCUUCUAACUCCAGGGAUCCUUAUUUGACCUGUGUGUAUCUUCCUGUAGUACAAGGGUUCUUGAUUUUGCACAAGAUAGUGAUUUGACAGUCUGAUGAAGCCUAUGGACCUUUCUCAGAGCAAUGUUUUUAAAUGCAUAAAAUACAUAGGAUUGCAGGAAAUUAUUAUGAAAUAAAAUUAUCAAAAUAUUUUAUACUUUGUGAUGUAAUGCAAUGUGUAUAUUUAUAAAAAUCUAGCAGCUGAUUUAAUAACUCCUAUAGUUUUAAAGUAGCAAUGACUGCAAGUAAUAUUUUAUUAUACCUACAUCUGUAAUGCAAUGUGAAAAUGUUUGCAAUUUUUGGUAGUUGCAAAAUUACUAUAGUGACUUAUAUAGCUACUACAGUGAUUUGUUGUUUAUAUUUAUGGAAUCCUAAUCUUCAGUCAGAUAUUAAUGAAAAUAAAUACUUCACUUUUUUUCUCAUCGAAAAAAUAAAAAUAAAUAAAAAUGUGGUUUAUAUACGCAAUAAAAUAUUAUUUGGCCUUAAAAAAGAAGGAAAUCUUUUCAUUUGGAUAACUUGGAUUAACCUUGAAGACAUUAUACUAAGUGAAAUUAGCAAUCACAAAAAGACAAAUGCUGCAUGAUUCUGCUUAUAUGAAGGAUUCAAAGAAAUCCAACUCAUAGAAACAGUGAGUAGAAUGGUAUUUGGCCCCUUCUACCAUGGAAGGGGGAGGGGAAACAGGUAGCUGUUGUUCAACUUUUAGCUCAACUUUGAAUCAUGAAAGAUGAAAAAGUUCUACAGAUGUAUUGAAUUGCAGUGUGCAUUUAAUUAGUAAUACUGUACUGUAUGUACACUUAGAAAUUGUUAAGAGGGUAGAUUUAUGUGUUUUUAAAAAUAUAUAUUUAUGUAUCUUUUAGAGAGGGGGUCUCUCUAUUUUGUCCAGCAAUCUUCUCACCUCAACCAUCCCCAGCACACACCACUGCACUGGCCUCUGUGGUGUUUUUUUGUUUGUUUUUCUGCAAAGGAAAAAAAAUCGGUCUCGUAAGCCAGACUCUUCUCCUAAAAUGCAACCCACUGUAUGUGCAGGUGUCAUCAUUCUAUUUGUGCUGCCUGGUAAGAAUUAGGCCUCAGGGAAUAGGCACAAAAUUGCUGAUAGCCAGGCUACUGCUAUUUUUUAAAAAAUAAAUUGUUCUUCACCCUUGGUCCUGGAGUUUUAUGUAUACUACCAAAAGUUGGGUAUUUGCCAACUUUACCAGCAUCAGUGAGACUGUGUCAGGCUGAGUUACCUUGCAAGUAGGGCAAAAUCCAAGACUCUUCAAAGUUUGUGACAAGUUUACAGAUAAAAUAGAUUUUGUUGAUUUCCUGAUUAUUCCUCCAUUUCUUGAAUAACACUGCUUGGUGAUCAUAAAUUAGUAAUUUAUUUAUUUAUUUUGAUAUGCAUAGGGUGAGGCCUGGCAGGGUCCCAAACAUGAAGCUUCUGUGUCAUCAAGAUGCAUCACCCUCCUGGCACAUUAAUUUUUGUCACCAAUGAGAAGACUGAGCUUUAGUGUUGUUUUUACUGGGGUUUCAUUACACGGACAAAAUUGAUUAAAUCACUGGUCACACGAUUGAACUCAAUUUCUAGCCCCCUACUCCUCCCUGAAGGUUGGGCUGAUUUCACCUUUCAAAAAGCCCAACUCUUUAAUCACAUGAUGUGUCUUUCCAUCACGGCGAGCCCACAACCUGAAAUAAAUUUAUGUUUUUAUCCCUCGCCACUCCCCACCCUUUCCCCUGAGUCCCCAAAGUCCAUAAGUCCAUUCUAUCAUUUUAAUGCCUUUGAAUCCUCAUAGCUUAGCUCCCACUUAAGAGUGAGAACAUAUGAUGUUUAGUUUUCCUUUCCUGAGUUACUUCACUUAGAAUAAUGGUCUCCAAUUCCAUCCAGGUUGUUGCAAAUGCCAUUAUUUUGUUACUUUUUAUGGCUGAGUAGUAUUCAUUCCAUGGUAUGUAUGUAAUUUCCUAGAUUGACUCACAGCCCUCAAGAAAGUGCUAUACUUGCAACAGUUUUAUUAUGGUUUACAGAUAAAGUAGAUUUUGUUGAUAGAAGACACACACAGAGACACACGCACACACGCACACACACAGAGACAACAGCUUUAUUAUGGUUUACAGAUAAAAUAGAUUUUGUUGAUAGAACAUAUAUAUAUGUAUAUCUCACAUUUUCUUUAUCUGCUUGUUGAUUGAUGGGCAUUUGGGCUGGUUCCAUAUUUUUGUAGUUGAUUUGUGCUGCUAUAAACAUGCAUGUGCAAGUAUCUUUUUCGUAUAAUGACUUCUUUUUCUCUGGGUAGAUACCCAGGGGUGGGAUUGCUGGAUCAAAUGGUAGUUCUACUUUUAGUUCUUUAAGGAAUCUUCACACUGUUUUCCAUAAUGGUUGUACUAGUUUACAUUCCCACCAGCAGUGUAAAAGUGUUUUCUUUUCACCACAUCCAUGCCAACAUCUUUUAAAAAAAAUUUUUUUUUUAUUAUGGCCAUGCUUGCAGGAGUAAGGUAGUAUCCCAUCAUGGUUAUGAUUUGCAUUUCUCUGAUAAUGAGUGAUGUUGAGCAUUUUUUCUUAUGUUUCUUGGUCAUUUGUAUAUCUUUUGACAAUUGUCUAUUCAUGUCCUUAGCCCACUUUUUGAUGGAAUUGUUUUUUUCUUGCUGAUUUGUUUGAAUUCCUUAUAGAUUCUGGAUAUUAUAAUAGUCCAUUCUCAGAUGUAUAGAUCGCAAAGAUUUUCACCCACUCUGUGAGUUGUCUAUUUACUGACUAUUUCUUUUGCUGUGCAGAAGCUUUUUAGUUUAAGUAAGUCCCAUCUAUUUAUCUUUGUUUUUGUGGCAUUUGCUUUUGGGUUCUUGGUCAUGAAGUCUUUGCCUAAGCCAGUGUCUAGAAGGGUUUUUCCAGUGUUAUCUUCUAGAAUUUUUAUGGUUUUAGGUCUUAGAUUUAAAUCUUUGAUCCAUCUUGAGUUGAUUUUUGUAUAAGGGGAGAGAUGAGGAUCCAGUUUCAUUCUUCUACAUGUGGCUUGCCAAUUAUCCCAGCACCAUUUGUUGAAUGGUUUUCUUUGCUUUGUUGAAGAUCAGUUGGCUGUAAGUCUUUGGGUUUAUUUCUGGGUUCUCUAUUUUGUUCCCUUGGUCUAUAUGCCUGUUUUUUUGUUUUGUUUUGUUUUUUUGAGACAGAGUUUCACUUCUGUUGCCCAGGCUGGAGUGCAGUGGCAUGAUCUUGGCUCACUGCAACCUCUGCCUUCCAGGUUCAAGCAAUUCUCCUGCCUCAGCCUCCUGAAUAGCUGGGAUUACAGGCACCUGCCACUGCCCCUGGCUAAUUUUUUGUAUUUUUAGUACAGAUGGGGUUUCACCACGUUGCCCAGGCUGGUCUCGAACGCCGCCUGCCUCAGUUUCCCAAAGUGCUGGUAUUACAGGCAUGAGCCACUGCGCCUGGCCUAUAUGCCUGUUUUUUAUACCAGUACCAUGCUGUUGUGGUGACCAUGGCCUUAUGGUAUUGUUUGAACUCAGGUAAUGUAAUGUGGUGCCUCUAGAUUUGUUCUUUUUGCUUAGUCGUGCUUAGGAUAUGCAGGCUCUUUUUUGGUUCCAUAUAUGAAUUUUAGGAUUUCUUUUUUCAGUUCUGUGAAGAAUGGUUAUGGUAUUUUGAUGGGAAUUGCACUGAAUUUGUAGAUUGCUUUUGGCAGUAUGGUCAUUUUCAUAAUAUUGAUUCUACCCAUCAUGAGCAUGGGAUAUGUUUCCAUUUGUUUGUGUCAUCUGUGAUUUCUUUCAGCAGUGUUUUGUAGUUUUCCUUGUAGAGGUCUUUCACGUCCUUGGUUCAGUAUAUUCCUAAGUAUUCUAUUUUAUUUUUGCAGCUAUUGUAAAAGGGGUGGAGUUCUUGAUUUGAUUCUCAGCUUGGUCAUUGUUAGUGUAUAGAAGGACUAUUGAUUUGUGUACAUUAACUUUGUAUCUUGAACUUUUGCUGAAUUUAUUUACCAGUUCCAGGAGCUUUUUGGAUGAGUCUUUAGGGUUUUCUAGGUAUAUGAUCAUAUCAUUGGUGAACAGUGACUGUUUGACUUCUUCUUUACUGAUUUGGAUGCCCUUUGUUUCUUUCUCUUGAUUGCUCUGACUAGGACUUCCAGUACUAUGUUGAAUAGAGGUAGUGAAAGUGGGCAUCCUUGUCUUGUUCCAGUUUUCAGGGGGAAUGCUUUAACUUUUCCCCGUUCAGUACAUUGUUGGCUAUGGUUUGUCAUAGAUGGCUUUUAUUACCUUUCAGUAUGUCCCUUUUAUGCUGAUUUUGCUGAGGGUUUUAAUCAUAAAGCAAUGCUGGAUUUUAUCAGAUGCUUUUUCUGCAUCUAUUGAGAUGAUCAUAUGACUCUUUUUAAAAUUUUAUUAUUAUUAUACUUUAAGUUUUAGGGUACAUGUGCACAAUGUGCAGGUUUUUUACAUAUGUAUACAUGUGCCAUGUUGGUGUGCUGCACCCAUUAACUCGUCAUUUAGCAUUAGGUAUAUCUCCUAAUGCUAUCCCUCCCUCUUCCCCCACCCCACAACAGUUCCCUGUGUGUGAUGUUCCCCUUCCUGUGUCCAUGUGUUCUCAUUGUUCAAUUCCCACCUAUGAGUGAGAACAUGUGGUGUUUGGUUUUUUGUCCUUGCGAUAGUUUGCUGAGAACGAUGGUUUCCAGUUUCAUCCAUGUCCCUACAAAGGACAUGAACUCAUCAUUUAUUAUUAUUAUUAUUUAUUUAUUUAUUUUAAAAUUAUUAUUAUACUUUAAGUUUUAGGCUACAUGUGCACAAUGUGCAGGUUAGUUACAUAUGUAUAUGUGUGCCAUGCUGGUGUGCUGCACCCAUUAACUCAUCAUUUAGCGUUAGGUAUAUCUCCUAAUGCUAUCCCUCCCCCCUCCCCCCUCCCCCCACCCCACAACAGUCCCCAGAGUGUGAUGUUCCCCUUCCUCUGUCCAUGUGUUCUCAUUGUUCAAUUCCCACCUAUGAGUGAGAACAUGCGGUGUUUGGUUUUUUGUCCUUGCGAUAGUUUGCUGAGAAUGAUGAUUUCCAAUUUCAUCCAUGUCCCUACAAAGAACAUGAACUCAUCAUUUUUUAUGGCUGCAUAGUAUUCCAUGGUGUAUAUGUGCCACAUUUUCUUAAUCCAGUCUAUCAUUGUUGGACAUUUGGAUUGGUUCCAAGUCUUUGCUAUCGUGAAUAGUGCCGCAAUAAACAUACGUGUGCAUGUGUCUUUAUAGCAGCAUGAUUUAUAGUCCUUUGGGUAUAUACCCAGUAAUGGGACGGCUGGGUCAAAUGGUAUUUCUAGUUCUAGAUCCCUGAGGAAUCGCCACACUGACUUCCACAAUGGUGGAACUAGUUUACAGUCCCACCAACAGUGUAAAAGUGUUCCUAUUUCUCCACAUCUUCUCCAGCACCUGUUGUUUCCUGACUUUUUAAUGAUUGCCAUUCUAACUGCUGAGAUGGUAUCUCAUUGUGGUUUUGAUUUGCAUUUCUCUGAUGGCCAGUGAUGGUGAGCAUUUUUUCAUGUUUUUUUUGGCUGCAUAAAUGUCUUCUUUUGAGAAGUAUCUGUUCAUGUCCUUUGCCCACUUUUUGAUGGGGUUGUUUGUUUUUUUCUUGUAAAUUUGUUUGAGUUCAUUGUAGAUUCUGGAUAUUAGCCCUUUGUCAGAUGAGUAGGUUGCGAAAAUUUUCUCCCAUUUUGUAGGUUGCCUGUUCACUCUGAUAGUAGUUUCUUUUGCUGUGCAGAAGCUCUUUAGUUUAAUUAGAUCCCAUUUGUCAAUUUUGUCUUUUGUUGCCAUUGCUUUUGGUGUUUUAGACAUGAAGUCCUUGCCCAUGCCUAUGUCCUGGAUGGUAAUGCCUAGGUUUUCUUCUAGGGUUUUUAUGGUUUUAGGUGUAACGUUUAAGUCUUUAAUCCAUCUUGAAUUAAUUUUUGUGUAAGGUGUAAGGAAGGGAUCCAGUUUCAGCUUUCUACAUAUGGCUAGCCAGUUUUCCCAGCACCAUUUAUUAAAUAGGGAAUCCUUUCCCCAUUUCUUGUUUUUGUCAGGUUUGUCAAAGAUCAGAUAGUUGUAGAUAUGCGGCGUCAUUUCUGAGGGCUCUGUUCUGUUCCAUUGAUCUAUAUCUCUGUUUUGGUACCAGUACCAUGCUGUUUUGGUUACUGUAGCCUUGUAGUAUAGUUUGAAGUCAGGUAGCGUGAUGCCUCCAGCUUUGUUCUUUUGGCUUAGGAUUGCCUUGGCAAUGCGGGCUCUUUUUUGGUUCCAUAUGAACUUUAAAGUAGUUUUUUCCAAUUCUGUGAAGAAAGUCAUUGGUAGCUUGAUGGAGAUGGCAUUGAAUCUAUAAAUUACCUUGGGCAGUAUGGCCAUUUUCACGAUAUUGAUUCUUUCUACCCAUGAGCAUGGAAUGUUCUUCCAUUUGUUUGUAUCCUCUUUUAUUUCAUUGAGCAGUGGAUUGUAGUUCUCCUUGAAGAGGUCCUUCACAUCCCUUGCAAGUUGGAUUCCUAGGUAUUUUAUUCUCUUUGAAGCAAUUGUGAAUGGGAGUUCACUCAUGAUUUGGCUCUCUGUUUGUCUGUUAUUGGUGUAUAAGAAUGCUUGUGAUUUUUGUACAUUGAUUUUGUAUCCUGAGACUUUGCUGAAGUUGCUGAUCAGCUUAAGGAGAUUUUGGGCUGAGACAAUGGAGUUUUCUAGAUAUACAAUCAUGUCAUCUGCAAACAGGGACAAUUUGACUUCCUCUUUUCCUAAUUGAAUACCCUUUAUUUCCUUCUCCUGCCUAAUUGCCCUGGCCAGAUCUUCCAACACUAUGUUGAAUAGGAGUGGUGAGAGAGGGCAUCCCUGUCUUGUGCCAGUUUUCAAAGGGAAUGCUUCCAGUUUUUGUCCAUUCAGUAUGAUAUUGGCUGUGGGUUUGUCAUAGAUAACUCUUAUUAUUUUGAGAUACAUCCCAUCGAUACCUAAUUUAUUGAGAGUUUUUAGCAUGAAGGGCUGCUGAAUUUUAUUAAGGGCCUUUUCUGCAUCUAUGGAGAUAAUCAUGUGGUUUUUGUCUUUGGUUCUGUUUAUAUGCUGGAUUACAUUUAUUGAUUUGCAUAUGUUGAAC
rnacentral:lncRNA from 1 species